rnacentral:rRNA from 1 species
UACGUAGGUGGCAAGCGUUGUCCGGAUUUAUUGGGGUUAAAGGGUGCGUAGGCGGCCAAUUAAGUCAGUGCUGAAAUACUCUAGCUUAACUAGAGGGGUGGCAUUGAUACUGAUUGGCUUGAGUGAAGUCGAGGUAGGCGGAAUUGACGGUGUAGCGGUGAAAUGCUUAGAUAUACGGAGGAACACCUGCGGCGAAGGCGGGUAGCUGGGCCAACACUGACGCUGAGACGCGAAAGCUAGGGGAGCAAACGGG